AAGAAAAAUCGAAAUAAAUAAUUAAAUAUUUAAAUUUUAAAAUAUUUUAUUAUUUAAAAUUUAAAUUUAAAUUUAAAAUAUAAACUAUUGAAGUUUAAAAUUUAAAUCUUAAAAUUUGAAGUUGAAAUUUUAAUAUUUGAAAUUUAAUAUUUAAAUUUUUUAAUUCAAUUUAUACUUUAAUAUUUAAAAUUUUGAAAAUUAAAAUUUAAAAGUUAAAACUUAAAAUUUAAAUAUUUUAUAUUUUAUCUUAAUUACUAAAACUAAAUUUAAAAAUAUUCAAAAUUUAAUAUUUAAAAUUUUUAAAUUCAAUUUAUAAUUUAAUUUUUAAAAUAUUGCAAUUUGAAAUUUAAAAUUUAAAACUUAAAAUUUAAAAAUUUUAUAUUUUAUCUUAAUUACUAAAACUAAAUUUUAUAAUUUUACAUUUUUAAACUUUAAAUUUCAGUUCCUAAAUUUUAAAUUUACAUUUUAUAUUCAAAUUUUGAAUUUUAAAAUUUAAAAUAUAAAAUCUAAUUUUGAAACCAAAAAUUUUAAAUUUGAUAUUUGAUAUUUAAAAGUUAAAAAUAAUAUUUAAAAUCUAAGUCUGAAAGAUGUUUAUUUGAAAUUUAUCAAUUUUGAAUUUUAAAUAUGAAUGAUAGUUUAAAAUUCAACUAUAAAAUCAAAUUUUAAAUUUAAAUUUUAAAUCGAAAAUCAAACUAAGAUUUUAGGUUGCCGAUACUGAUUAGCCGCG
rnacentral:lncRNA from 1 species